rnacentral:rRNA from 1 species
CUUGCUCUCUUGGCGGCGAGUGGCGGACGGGUGAGUAAUAUAUCGGAACGUGCCCAGUAGCGGGGGAUAACUACUCGAAAGAGUGGCUAAUACCGCAUACGCCCUACGGGGGAAAGGGGGGGAUCGCAAGACCUCUCACUAUUGGAGCGGCCGAUAUCGGAUUAGCUAGUUGGUGGGGUAAAGGCUCACCAAGGCAACGAUCCGUAGCUGGUUUGAGAGGACGACCAGCCACACUGGGACUGAGACACGGCCCAGACUCCUACGGGAGGCAGCAGUGGGGAAUUUUGGACAAUGGGGGAAACCCUGAUCCAGCCAUCCCGCGUGUAUGAUGAAGGCCUUCGGGUUGUAAAGUACUUUUGGCAGAGAAGAAAAGGUAUCCCCUAAUACGGGAUACUGCUGACGGUAUCUGCAGAAUAAGCACCGGCUAACUACGUGCCAGCAGCCGCGGUAAUACGUAGGGUGCAAGCGUUAAUCGGAAUUACUGGGCGUAAAGCGUGUGUAGGCGGUUCGGAAAGAAAGAUGUGAAAUCCCAGGGCUCAACCUUGGAACUGCAUUUUUAACUGCCGAGCUAGAGUAUGUCAGAGGGGGGUAGAAUUCCACGUGUAGCAGUGAAAUGCGUA